rnacentral:rRNA from 1 species
UACGGGGGGGGCAAGCGUUGUUCGGAAUUACUGGGCGUAAAGGGCUCGUAGGCGGCCAACUAAGUCAGACGUGAAAUCCCCCGGCUUAACCGGGGAACUGCGUCUGAUACUGGAUGGCUUGAGUGUGGGAGAGGGAUGCGGAAUUCCAGGUGUAGCGGUGAAAUGCGUAGAGAUCCGGAAGAACACCGGUGGCGAAGGCGGCCUGCUGGGCAGUAGCUGACGCUGAUGCGCGACAGCGUGGGGAGCAAACAGG